rnacentral:rRNA from 1 species
GAUGAACGCUGGCGGCGUGCUUAACACAUGCAAGUCGAACGAGAAGUGAAGACGGAAACCUUCGGGCGGAAGGCUUUAUUUCGAGUGGCGGACGGGUGAGUAACGCGUGGGUAACCUGCCUCAUACAGGGGGAUAACAGUUGGAAACGACUGUUAAUACCGCAUCAGACCACAGCACCGCAUGGUGCGGGGGUAAAAACUCCGGUGGUAUGAGAUGGACCCGCGUUCGAUUAGCCAGUUGGCGGGGUAACGGCCCACCAAAGCGACGAUCGAUAGCCGAUCUGAGAGGAUGACCGGCCACAUUGGGACUGAGACACGGCCCAAACUCCUACGGGAGGCAGCAGUGGGGAAUAUUGCACAAUGGGGGAAACCCUGAUGCAGCGACGCCGCGUGAGUGAAGAAGUAUUUCGGUAUGUAAAGCUCUAUCAGCAGGGAAGAAAAUGACGGUACCUGAGUAAGAAGCCCCGGCUAACUACGUG